GCCCCACUAGCGCAAUGGUAGCGCGUCAGACUUCUACUAGAAGAGAAUCUGAAGGCUGUGGGUUCGAGCCCCACGUGGGGCU